UACGUAGGGGGCAAGCGUUGUCCGGAAUCAUUGGGCGUAAAGCGCGUGUAGGCGGCCCGAUAAGUCCGCUGUGAAAGUCCAGGGCUCAACCCUGGGAUGCCGGUGGAUACUGUCGGGCUCGAGUCCGGAAGAGGCGAGUGGAAUUCCUAGUGUAGCGGUGAAAUGCGCAGAUAUCAGGAGGAACACCAAUGGCGAAGGCAGCUCGCUGGGACGUGACUGACGCUGAGAAGCGAAAGCAUGGGGAGCGAACAGG
rnacentral:rRNA from 1 species